rnacentral:rRNA from 1 species
UACGGAGGGUGCAAGCGUUAUCCGGAUUCACUGGGUUUAAAGGGUGCGUAGGCGGCCUGAUCAGUCAGAGGUGAAAGGCUCCCGCUCAACGGGAGAACUGCCUUUGAUACUGUUAGGCUUGAAUUAGGUUGAGGUAGGCGGAAUGUGGCAUGUAGCGGUGAAAUGCUUAGAUAUGCCAUAGAACACCAAUUGCGAAGGCAGCUUACUAGACCUACAUUGACGCUGAGGCACGAAAGCGUGGGUAGCGAACAGG